rnacentral:lncRNA from 1 species
ACUGACUCAUGGAACUGCGGGACUAACCUAGGUCUAAAUCCUGGGACGCCCACAGCUAAGCCGGGGGUAGAGGCGGCUCAAGGGAGCUGGGGAGAGAAAGGGAUCCGCCACACGGGGACGCUGUGGAGCAGGACGAGGCUUUUGCCACGAGCAUCUUUUCAGUGGCUUGUAAUGAAGAUGAAACGGGAGAGGAGGAUGGUCUCCGCACCUGCGCAGCAGUUGGGGGCGGAGCUGCAGCUCUGGCGCCUGCGCAGCAGCCAUUUGAGGAGCUGGGGUCCCUCUAAAAACGAAGGUAAAGAAUCCAGAAGGAAGGUUCUAGUGGAACAGAGACUGAAAAGCAUCAGGAUCGGCCUCAUGGAAAUAGCUGGGACCAAGUCAGGUCUGCCUCUGAUCCUUUUAGACGUGGCUGCCGCCAUAGCUGACUGGCUGGUAGAGCCGCUACUUGGGACAACAACACUUGGUUUGGGGUAACCUGAAGCUUUCUCCAGCCCCCAACAGACCGCGGCCCAGGCUUGCCAAGGAGUUCCUGCCUAUCCAUCUCUGACUUGGUCUCUACCUAUUUGGCCCAACUCUUUCUUCUUCCCAAUGAGUGCUUCGGUCAUUCCCCGUCACGGACAGUCAUACUUCAAAUACUUUAAUAAAGUGACAUCAGUAGAUGCCGAAUAAAAGCA